CGAGCAAACUAAACGGCUGCGGGUGCAUCUCGCACCUGAGGAAAGUCCGAGCUCCACAGGGCAGAAUAGCGGCUAACGGCCGCCGAGGGUGACCUUAGGGAAAGUGCAACAGAAAUAUACCGCCGUUUUUACGGUAAGGGUGGAAAGGCGAGGUAAGAGCUCACCGGCUGGCAGGAGACUGUGCAGCCCUGUAAACCCUAUUCGGAGCAACAUCGAACUCAGCAAAACAUUUGCCCGAUGUGCUGAAAAAGAUGGCUUGAGGCGUGGAGCAAUCCCCGUCCCAGACAGAUAGUCGUUCAUGACAGAACUCGGCUUAUCGGUUUGGUCGCAAC
rnacentral:RNase_P_RNA from 1 species